rnacentral:tRNA from 2 species
GCCGGAGUAGCUCAGUCGGUCAGAGCAGCGGAAUCAUAAUCCGCGUGUCGGGGGUUCGAGUCCCUCCUCCGGCA